CACAUGUUGUGUCAACAAGGCGCCCAUUGGGCUUAAAAGGGAAUCCCGUGCAAAUCGGGAACGGUCCCGCCACUGUAAUUUCCACCUGCUUCCUCCGGGAAGCGGGAAAGUCGGUUCUCAGGCCACUGCCCCUGUUAUGGGGUGGGAAGGCGAACCGAUUUUGGGAAAAGUCAGGAGACCUGCCUUGUUGAUUUUUUUGCU
rnacentral:ncRNA from 2 species